rnacentral:pre_miRNA from 1 species
AUAUGAAUCACUUAAGGAUCUUGUUAAAAUGCAAAUUGUGAUUCAAGAGAUCUGCAGUAGAGUUUAGGAGUCUGCAUUUCUAACAAGUUCCAGGUGAUAUCAAU